rnacentral:rRNA from 1 species
ACACGUGGGAAAUCUGCCCAGAAGCAGGGGAUAACACUUGGAAACAGGUGCUAAUACCGUAUAACAAUAAAAUCCGCAUGGAUUUUGUUUGAAAGGUGGCUUCGGCUAUCACUUCUGGAUGAUCCCGCGGCGUAUUAGUUAGUUGGUGAGGUAAAGGCCCACCAAGACGAUGAUACGUAGCCGACCUGAGAGGGUAAUCGGCCACAUUGGGACUGAGACACGGCCCAAACUCCUACGGGAGGCAGCAGUAGGGAAUCUUCCACAAUGGACGAAAGUCUGAUGGAGCAAUGCCGCGUGAGUGAAGAAGGGUUUCGGCUCGUAAAACUCUGUUGUUAAAGAAGAACACCUUUGAGAGUAACUGUUCAAGGGUUGACGGUAUUUAACCAGAAAGCCACGGCUAACUACGUGCCAGCAGCCGCGGUAAUACGUAGGUGGCAAGCGUUGUCCGGAUUUAUUGGGCGUAAAGCGAGCGCAGGCGGUUUUUUAAGUCUGAUGUGAAAGCCUUCGGCUUAACCGGAGAAGUGCAUCGGAAACUGGGAGACUUGAGUGCAGAAGAGGACAGUGGAACUCCAUGUGUAGCGGUGGAAUGCGUAGAUAUAUGGAAGAACACCAGUGGCGAAGGCGGCUGUCUAGUCUGUAACUGACGCUGAGGCUCGAAAGCAUGGGUAGCGAACAGGAUUAGAUACCCUGGUAGUCCAUGCCGUAAACGAUGAGUGCUAAGUGUUGGAAGGGUUUCCGCCCUUCAGUGCUGCAGCUAACGCAUUAAGCACUCCGCCUGGGGGAGUACGACCGCAAGGUUGAAACUCAAAGGAAUUGACGGGGGCCCGCACAAGCGGUGGAACAUGUGGGUUUAAUUCGAAGCUACGCGAAGAACCUUACCAGGUCUUGACAUCUUCUGCCAAUCUUAAAAGAUAAGACGUUCCCUUCGGGGACAGAAUGACAGGUGGUUGCAUGGUUGUCGUCAGCUCGUGUCCUGAAAAUGUUUGGGUUAAGUCCCGCAACGAGCGCAACCCUUAUUAUCAUUUGCCAGCAUUCAUUUGGGCACUCUGUUGGAGACUGCCGGUGACAAACCCGAAGAAAAAGGGGGGGGAUGGACCGUCAAAAACAACCAUGCCCCCUUAUAGACCUGGGGGUACCAACCUUUGUUCCAAUGGAAGGGGACAAACAAAUUUCCGAAAAUCUUGGAGGGUAACCCUAAUUCCUUUAAAACCCUUUUUCCCUUCCCCAAUUUAAGGCGCGCCCCCCCCCC